CAUACCUAUUCGAAGGGAUAGGGUCGGUUUGGCCGGAUUUCACACAGGUGUUGCAUGGCUGUCGUCAGCUCGUGUCGUGAGAUGUUGGGUUAAGUCCCGCAACGAGCGCAACCCUCAUCCUUAGUUACCAUCAGGUUAUGCUGGGGACUCUAAGGAAACUGCCAGUGAUAAACUGGAGGAAGGUGGGGAUGAUGUCAAGUCAUCAUGGCCCUUAUGGAGUGGGCCACACACGUGCUACAAUGGUGAUUACAAUGGGCUGCAAGGUCGCAAGGCUGAGCUAAUCCUAAAAAAUCAUCUCAGUUCGGAUUGUUCUCUGCAACUCGAGAGCAUGAAGUUGGAAUCGCUAGUAAUCGUGGAUCAGCAUGCCACGGUGAAUACGUUCUCGGGUCUUGUACACACUGCCCGUCACGCCAUGGGAAUUGGUUUCACUCGAAGCU
rnacentral:rRNA from 1 species